rnacentral:lncRNA from 1 species
GUGAAUGCUUUGGAAUACUAUUGCAAACUACGAAUGGCUUGAUCUCGGUUUAGGGUACGUAGGCAGUCUAACGAGACGUUAGAUGCAGCCAUAUAAUAAAUGAGAAUGAAUAAUCGAGACAAUAGCCUAGUUUGGGAAUGGGGCAUUACAGUUUAUGCAUUAUAGACCAUUUGUUUAUAUGUUUAUAUAUCUGGAAAUAUUAUGAUAUGUUGAAUUUAGACUUACAUCCUGGUAUUUCCAUCUGUAUAUUCCUUGCACAUGAUUAUUGUGAAUGCUUCGAAGUGCAAAGGUGAACGUAGGACUCACAGGUAAGUUCAAGUAAGUUCAGGUAAGCAUACGGUAUUAUUUGAAUUAAUGGGGUUAUGGUAUGACUACAUUUAUGUUUUUUAAGCAACUCUGACAUUGUCGUACAAGUUGCAAUAAUAGGCAACUUCGGCAUUGUCGUAUAGGUUGCUUAUGAAUCAUACAUGUUGUAUUAGAUGCAUUUAAAGCUUUUAAACCUGCACCCCGGUGUUAGUGCUUCCGCUUAUGGCCAGGGCACAGUCCUUCACGUAAUGUUCACCUCCUGCACCAUACGCUCACCUUGAAUUCGAGAUAGGUGCACAUGCCUGUCGUACAAACCACUAUAGAUGGUUCUGACUCGUAGGUGACUCUUCACGUGAUCGUAGCACUUGAGCGUAUUCAUUUACACCCAGUCCUGUCGUACAGACCACUAUAGUGGUUUUGAUUCGUGUGCAGGCGUAAUGCUGUAUAGGUCACUAUAGGUGACUCCGGCUAGAUUGAUUAAUGAUAUAUGAUUAUGUCGUAUAGGUCACUAUAGGUGACUCCGACUAGAUUGAUUGAUGAUAUAUGAUUAUGCCGUAUAGGUCACUAUAGGUGACUUCGGCUAGAUUGAUUGAUGAGAUAUGAAUAUUCCAUAUAGGUCAUUAUAGGUGACUCCGGCGAGAUUGAUUGAUGAGAUAUGAAUAUGUCGUACAGGUCACUAGAGGUGACUUCUGACUUAUGAGCUAGCAUUGAUUGAUGAUAUAUGAUUACAGUCAUACAGGUCACUAGAGGUGACUCCGACUUAUGAGCUAGUAUAUGUGAUACGAUAUGCAAUGAGCUAGCAUAUGUGAUGAAAUAUAUGAUGAGCUAGCAUAUGUGAUGAACUAGCAUAUGUGAUACGAUAUGUGAUGAGCUAACAUAUUGAAGAAAUAUGGGUAAGUCAUACAGGUCACUAUACGUGAUUCCGACUUAUAAGUUAACAUCGAUUGAUGAGAUAUGGGUACAGUCGUACAAGUCACCAUAAGUGACUCCGACUUGCGUACUAGUAUGGGUUGUUAAUCACAUGAUUAUUGAUAUUGCUGAUGAGAUGCUGUGUUGUAGUAUAUUUAUGAACUUUUUGGAAACUAUACAAUUGUUGUAUCGAAGGGUUAUAAUGUUUUAUAUGGUUCUACUAAACUUUUAUCUCCAGGGCCACUCACUCUUGUUUUGUUUUCACCCUCCAUUUUUUAUUAGCUGAGCUUUCUUAUCAUUGAAGAUUCUUGGCGAUUCUUACUAUUAGAGAUUCUUUCAGGGGUACGAUUAUUAAUCCCUUCUACUGUACUUACUUAUGAUCUAACGUUGCGUGUGAAGUGGGUUCCUUCCCGCUCACCAGCGCACUCUGGUAUUUAGGCACUCUUAGGUUUAAAUUUAUUCACAUUUUUCCACAUCUUCAUACUUUAUGGCUUCGUCACCCUCCAGGUGUCGGCCAGCACAGCUCGAUUUAGAGUCCUAGUGGACAUCCUGGGUCGGGGUGUGUCAAUGAGUAUAAAAGAAAUAAAUACAUUUAAUUAAAUAACUGGACUCACUCCUAAAAACACUCUAUGAUUAUUUUGGACCUGGAUCUCAAAGCCCCUAAAUUAUACCUCCAACAGUAAUUACCUCGCACGCAUAGUAUGUAUGAUAUAAAUCUAGAGUAAAUCAUACCUCUUUUUUUCUUUAGGUUUGCCAGGCAUGACUCCAGUCUCCUAUGGUAAAUGGUAUAUCCUGUUUAUACCAUACUUAGGGCCUCUCUAUUCAGAUCUCAUACAAACACUUGGGGGACUUAAAUGUAAUUAUGUAAUAAAGGAAGGGGCAAAUAU